UUUUAAACAAAUUGAGCAUAAUUUAUAUUUUUAAGGGGGAUAGCCACUGUGAGGAUCGAAAAAAUAGGUGAUUUUCGGGAAUUUUUUUGACUGGGAUAAUAAAGAUUAUUCUCCUAAAUUUUGAUUAAAAAAUAUCAUGUUGUUACGAAGUUAUUAGCAUUUUUGUGGAAAACCAAAAAAAUUUCCCCCACCACGGUGUGAUCUCUAACUCAAAAACAGAUUAUCUAAAACAAAAAAACUAAACUGUGUUGUAAUUUGCAUGCAUGUGGUUAUCGAUCCACGUAGGGGAUUUUGAAAAUUUUGAUUU